CCAGAGGAAACGAACAAAAGGCGCUUCCAGUGAGGCGUCUGUGCACAAUCUCGGGUAAACACGGGGCCAGAGAUAAUGCAGAACAUGAUUAGACCGGACUUAAGGGGGUGAAGGUACAAGAGCUACCGAAGCAGACCUUGCUAAGCCUCCCUGUGUCUCAACACUUCCCAUGCUCUUUAUUCUAAUUGGUCAAGACUUUUUCUGGAAGAUUACAAGGGAAUGGCAUCUUUGAAUCAGGGGGCUGGGGCUCUAGGAAGCGAGUCCGAUUACACAGCGUCCUGUAUAUUAGGGUGUGAUCUGGACCAGAGCUCACCUUGGAUCUGGCAGAGGUCCUUCCCCUCAUUUCCCUGAGGAUUAUGGGUCAACAUGAUCGGCUUCUCAGUGGGGAAAGUUGAGUGUUUUAUCAACUGGGUCUUGAAGCUGCUGUCUGUGGCCUAACUGAUGAUGCCCCAAAUGGGAGUGCAGAUCCAGAGAAGAGCCCAGAGUCGCGUGCGCGUCGCUCUGUGAUAGGUCACCAGGUAGCUACACAAAUCAAUGUCUAGUAACGACUGCCAUCGGAUCAGUGGCUCGAGUCCGGCAGAGUCCCACAAAGCAGUACUUACGGCAUCGGGACAGCCUACGAACGUCAUCACGAGCAUGGAUUACGUUAGCCGAUCUUACCGUGUCAUGCUCUUCUUGACUCAGCCUCCCAAGGGGUUCAGACUAUAGGAGCACACCGCCACCUCUGACUUCUAGGGAGGGGCUGGGACUAAACCCAGGCCUCUCGUGUGAGCCCGGCCUGUGGAGCAGCAGCCCCAACCAGGCCCUUGGAAUGCCAAAAAGGAUGUGAACACAGAGAGAGGACUAUCAAUACAACAGAGUGUUCGACAAAC